AUUGAACGCUGGCGGCAUGCCUUACACAUGCAAGUCGAACGGUAACGGGCCUUCGGGUGCCGACGAGUGGCGAACGGGUGAGUAAUGUACCGGAACGUACCUUUCAGUGGGGGAUAACGUAGCGAAAGUUACGCUAAUACCGCAUAUUCUGUGAGCAAGAAAGCAGGGGAUCGCACGACCUUGCGCUGAUUGAGCGGCCGAUAUCUGAUUAGCUAGUUGGUGAGGUAAAGGCUCACCAAGGCUACGAUCAGUAGCUGGUCUGAGAGGACGACCAGCCACACUGGAACUGAGACACGGUCCAGACUCCUACGGGAGGCAGCAGUGGGGAAUUUUGGACAAUGGGGAAACCCUGAUCCAGCAAUGCCGCGUGAGUGAAGAAGGCCUUCGGGUUGUAAAGCUCUUUUGUCAGGGAAGAAACGGUAGAGGCUAAUAUCCUUUGCUAAUGACGGUACCUGAAGAAUAAGCACCGGCUAACUACGUGCCAGCCGCCGCGGUAACAC
rnacentral:rRNA from 1 species